CGUCGCUUUCUAGUGUCUGUGGUGUCGGCGCUGCAGGAUGACGCGAGCCUCUCGCGUCCCUGGUUUUCUCGGUCGCAGCGUUGAGUUAUUGGGUGGAAAGGCAUCACCUUAGAGUCAACCUUCUUUGAAACCACUGUCUCAGAGAAAUCCCUCCAAGACACAGGUAAUUAGAGAGGGUAUGUGAACCAAGGAGCCAAUCAAAUUCUCCCACAUAAGAAUUUGGGACACAGAAGAUGAAGCUGAGGACCACAAGGAUUUAGAUACUGAUGCUAAAGGAAAAAGGAAGAAGCAGAGGGUCAGCAGAUGUUGAAAGAGGUAUAAUCAAGCUCAUACUCCAUUAAACAGAAAGCAAACUAAGAGCUGGAGAGAUGAAGAGACUUGGUCAACAUCAUACAUAUCUUUCAGCCAAGUUGCUUAAGAACAACAGUUGACUAGAACUGCACGUCUUCCUUCAAACACUGUCUACUGCAGAAUGCAAACAGGAACCUCUGGGAAUAUCUAUAGAGUGGAGAAAUAACAUGGCAUAAAUGUGCAUUGAGGGGCCACCUCUACUUCACUUCAGCUUCUGGAAAAA
rnacentral:lncRNA from 10 species